AUUGAACGCUGGCGGCAGGCCUAACACAUGCAAGUCGAGCGGAUGAAGGGAGCUUGCUCCUGGAUUCAGCGGCGGACGGGUGAGUAAUGCCUAGGAAUCUGCCUGGUAGUGGGGGAUAACGUCCGGAAACGGGCGCUAAUACCGCAUACGUCCUGAGGGAGAAAGUGGGGGAUCUUCGGACCUCACGCUAUCAGAUGAGCCUAGGUCGGAUUAGCUAGUUGGUGGGGUAAAGGCCUACCAAGGCGACGAUCCGUAACUGGUCUGAGAGGAUGAUCAGUCACACUGGAACUGAGACACGGUCCAGACUCCUACGGGGGGCAGCAGUGGGGAAUAUUGGACAAUGGGCGAAAGCCUGAUCCAGCCAUGCCGCGUGUGUGAAGAAGGUCUUCGGAUUGUAAAGCACUUUAAGUUGGGAGGAAGGGCAGUAAGUUAAUACCUGGCUGUUUUGACGUUACCAACAGAAUAAGCACCGGCUAACUUCGU
rnacentral:rRNA from 1 species